rnacentral:rRNA from 1 species
AGUUAAAAUCUGAAACAAAAACGAAAUGAAGUUUUUAAAAUAAAACAUUUAAAACUUUAGUAAAGGAGAUUAAAGAUUUAUAUGUGAUUUAGAAAAGUACUGAAAAGGAAUGAAUAUUUAACUAUAACUAAGAAAAAUUUCAAUUUAUACCUUUUGCAUCAUGGUUUAGCUAGAUUUAAAUUUUAAUUUAAAUAUCUCGAAAUCUAAUGAGCUAUUUUUAGUCCUUAUUUAGUAAUACUAGGAGUAACUGUGGUAGAAAUUUUCUGAGAACUAAAAAUAGAAAUGAAAUUUUAUUCGUAUUAGAGGAUAGCUAGUUUUCUUAAAAGGUAUUUAAGUACUUUAGACUAAAAUUUAUAGGUAAAUUAAUUUACCUAUAAAUUUAGUUUGACUGAGUUUUUAGGGAUAAGCCGGUAAACUAAAAUAUAAAGGAUAUAUAAUUUUUUGUUAAACUUAAGCCUGAAAAUAGCUAUUAUUAAUGAUUUUGUUACAAUCUCAUUUCAAAUAAAUAAAUUUAAUAGAUUUAUCUUUAAAUUAAUGGAAAGAGCUCGAAAACUAAGAAAGUGAGCUGUAUUUAUGCUAAAAUGAGUAUUAAGUGUACUUAUAAUUCUAUGUAAUGAUAUUGUCAAGACUAAAUAUUUAAAAUUUUAGAAUGAAGUUGUAAAAAGGAAUUCAGCAAAAAAUAUUCUGCCUGUUUAUCAAAAACAUGGCUCCUUGAAAAUCUUAUAUGAGGAGUCGGACCUGCCCGGUGAAAUUUUUAACGGCCGCGGUACUCUGACCGUGCAAAGGUAGCAUAAUCAUUUGCCUUAUAAUUGAAGGCUGGAAUGAAUGGUUUGACAAGAAUAUAACUGUCUCUUUACAAUUCUAUAAAAUUUGAUUUUUAGGUGAAGAAUCCUAAAUAAAAUUGAAAGACAAGAAGACCCUAUCGAGCUUUAAAGAAGUUAAUAAAAUCAGAAGUAAAUAUUUAAUAAAAAUGUCAAUUAUUAAAAAUUUUAGUUGGGGCGACUUAGGAACAAAUAAAACUUCCUUUGAAAUAUUACUAAACUAUCCAGCACUGAGCCAAAAUUAUUUUGAUCAAAGAAAUUAGUUACCGUAGGGAUAACAGCAUUAUCUUUUUUAAGAGCUCUUAUCGAAAAAAAGGUUUGUGACCUCGAUGUUGGACCAGAAUAUCCUAAAGAUGCAGCAGUCUUUAAGGGUUGGUCUGUUCGACCAUUAAAAUUCUACGUGAUCUGAGUUCAGACCGGCGUGAGCCAGGUCAGUUUCUAUCUUCAAUUGAAUAAUUAGAUUUAGUACGAAAGGACCAAUCUACAAUAAAUAUAUUAUAAAGUACGAAAAAAUGUAAUAAAAAAUUAAGU